rnacentral:rRNA from 1 species
UUGCUUUUUCUGUAUGACGACCGGCGCACGGGUGCGUAACGCGUAUACAACCUACCUUUUAGCGGGGAAUAGCCCAGGAAACUUGGAUUAAUGCCCAUAUAUAUAGAUUCUCUGAAGUUUAUAUUAAACAUUUAUGGCUAUUAGAUGGGUAUGCGUCUAUUAGUUAGUUGGUAAGGUAACGGCUUACCAAGGCAGCGAUAGGUAGGGGUCCUGAGAGGGAGAUCCCCACACUGGUACUGAGACACGGACCAGACUCCUACGGGAGGCAGCAGUGAGGAAUAUUGGACAAUGGGCGAGAGCCUGAUCCAGCCAUGCCGCGUGCAGGAAGACUGCCCUAUGGGUUGUAAACUGCUUUUACAGAGGAAGAACCACCCCCACGUGUGGGAGUUUGACGGUACUCUGCGAAUAAGGAUCGGCUAACUCCGUG